CCUACGGGGGGCAGCAGUGGGGAAUAUUGGACAUUGGGGGGAACCCUGAUCCAGCCAUGCCGCGUGUGUGAAGAAGGCCCUCGGGUUGUAAAGCACUUUCAGUGAGGAAGAACGCCUGGUGGUUAAUACCCAUCAGGAAAGACAUCACUCACAGAAGAAGCACCGGCUAACUCCGUGCCAGCAGCCGCGGUAAUACGGAGGGUGCGAGCGUUAAUCGGAAUUACUGGGCGUAAAGCGCGCGUAGGUGGCUUGAUAAGCCGGUUGUGAAAGCCCCGGGCUCAACCUGGGAACGGCAUCCGGAACUGUCAAGCUAGAGUGCAGGAGAGGAAGGUAGAAUUCCCGGUGUAGCGGUGAAAUGCGUAGAGAUCGGGAGGAAUACCAGUGGCGAAGGCGGCCUUCUGGACUGACACUGACACUGAGGUGCGAAAGCGUGGGUAGCAAACAGGAUUAGAUACCCUGGUAGUC
rnacentral:rRNA from 1 species